CACGCAAAGCUCCAUCGACAACGUGCGGUUCCACAUCGCGCCGAAUGGGUACCUCGCGAUUGUCCCGACCCCAUCAAACCUUCGGGUGGAAGCUAUUAUAGUGGCAAAUGAAGCGGCGCGCACGUUCAAAACAGGUGCAGCUCUAUUUAUUGAUCGAAUCAGGGUACGCCUACGUACUGCGAGUAAUAGGAAUCUAUAUGCCUCCUUCAGCGGAAUACAUCGGUUUUGGUUCUCCCUGGCAUGAGGUAUAAGGAAGCUUCCUUAGCUAUUGAUCCAAUGUGGCCAAAUGGAUGAUGCACGGUGACUGUUCGAUGAUAUGCCUCAGUGGAAUAGCUUCACUCGGAACACACAUAGACUGAAGGACCGGAGUGUGAGGAGUAACUCAAUUAGUGGAGCCAAUUCAUGUGCUUGUAACGCCAAGACUAAACGGCCGUGUCCUCAGGAUCCCACGUGUUAAAGCAACAGGACCAUCUUGAUGAUCAAGCCAUCGGGAAGCUGAAAAUACUUGACGAUUGGUUUUACCACUGAAGAUUGUAAGAUCACUGGAGAUCACUACAUAUUGUCGGAGUGUCAAGUGUUUUCAGUUUUGGACAUUCGUCCAUGCA